GAUAAGAACGUAGCGAAAUGCGAUAAGUAGUGUGAAUUGCAGAAUUCAGUGAAUCAUCGAAUCUUUGAACGCACAUUGCGCCCCUCGGUAUUCCGUGGGGCAUGCCUGUUCGAGCGUCAUUUAACCCCUCAAGCCUAGCUUGGUAUUGGGUGCUUGUCCCGCCUCUCGCGCGGCGACUCACCUCAAAGUCAUUGGCAGCCCGCAUCUCGCCGGCCGUGAGCGCAGCACAGACGCGCUCUUGGCAACGACGGAUCGGCUCUCCAAAAGCUUAUUUCAACCACUGACCUCGGAUCAGGUAGGGAUACCCGCUGAACUUAAGCAUAUCAAUAAGCGGAGGA
rnacentral:misc_RNA from 1 species